GGACUACCGGGGUUUCUAAUCCUGUUUGCUCCCCACGCUUUCGCGUCUCAGCGUCAGUACCGUCCCAGCGAGCUGCCUUCGCCAUUGGUGUUCCUCCUGAUAUCUGCGCAUUUCACCGCUACACCAGGAAUUCCACUCGCCUCUUCCGGACUCUAGCCCAGCAGUAUCCACCGGCUUUCCAGGGUUGAGCCCUGGACUUUUACAGCGGACUGACUGGGCCGCCUACACGCUCUUUACGCCCAAUGAUUCCGGACAACGCUUGCACCCUACGUAUUACCGCGGCUGCUGGCAC
rnacentral:rRNA from 1 species